GCUUGUCUCAAAGAUUAAGCCAUGCACGUCUAAGUAUAAGCGAUUAUACUGUGAAACUGCGAAUGGCUCAUUAUAUCAGUUAUAGUUUAUUUGAUGGUCCUUGCUACUUGGAUAACCGUAGUAAUUCUAGAGCUAAUACAUGCAUCAAACCCCGACUUUUUGGAAGGGGUGUAUUUAUUAGAUAAAAAACCAAUGCGGGGCAACCCGGUUUUGUGGUGAAUCAUAGUAACUUUUCGGAUCGCAUAGCUUCACGCUGGCGAUAGUUCAUUCAAAUUUCUGCCCUAUCAGCUUUCGACGGUAGUGUAGUGGACUACCGUGGCGUUAACGGGUGACGGAGAAUUAGGGUUCGAUUCCGGAGAGGGAGCCUGAGAAACGGCUACCACAUCCAAGGAAGGCAGCAGG
rnacentral:rRNA from 1 species